UCAAAAUGUGGGUUUGGUGACUCUUCCUUUCAUCUGUAGAACUUUCUUAAUUCAAAACUUCCUACAUUUAAGUUUUGUCUGUUUUGCUUUACAGUAUUGGGGAUCAAGCAUAACGGUGCUGAACCACCAAGCUAUAUCUCCAGCCCUUUUUAUUUUUUAUUUUGAGACAGGGUCUCUAAAUUGCCCAGGCUGGCCACAAAGUUGUGGCCCUUCUGCCUCACGCUCCUAAGUAGCUAGAAUUACAGUUGUGUACCACAUGCCUGGCUCUACAUUUGGGGGUUUGAGAAUGUUUAAAUUUUCUUACAACUUUUUGACAGUAUUUUUCUCAGACCUUAAGUAUAGACACAGGAAUCUAGAGAGAAAGGUGUUCCUGGCCUAUAUUGCUGGCUUUCAUCACAGACAGCUUUAGGUCUGAAUUCAGAAUUUCAGACCAAGAAGCUUGAGUUGCAAGAAUCUCUAGAGAAAACUUGUAUAAUUCAAAAAGCCAUCUUCAUUGUUAAAAUUUCAUACCUACAGUGCUCUCUUCGGCAGCACAUAUACUAAAAUUUCAUACCUACAAAAUAAUUUUUAAUGUAAACUACAGAAAGUAAAUUGGACAAAAUUACACUCAGCAGUAGGAAGAUGCAGGAGCAGCACAGUGUAGAAAGGCCAGCAGGAAGCCCCUGGUUCCAGUCCUGGAUGCCCCAUGGCCAGGGACACCCAGCCUGCCAUAGGGCCUCACUCAGCUACUGCCAGGUGAGGCAGUACAGGUGCCUGUCUCCAUGCAGGUUAGUGAGAAUUCUGCAAAGGCAGACAUUCAAAGGCCUAAAACAAGGGCCAGGCAUAUGGUUUGGUAGGAGGACAUUUGUCCAGCAGGCCCAAAGUCCUAGGUUCAAUCCCCAGCACUGCAAAAACAAGUAAGUGAGUUCAAUAUACCACCUGGCAUAUAGCUCCAGCAAAGAUUGCCGGCUACACCGGGAUUCUGAGCAGCAGGGAACACAAGAAGCUCUUUGCUUCAAACAGGAGAAGUUGAAAAACCAAGUCUGAAGAUAAGAAGAAAUCCCAAGUGGCAUUAGAUCAGAUAGGCCCUCUUUUUCUAAUUUCCUAUGUCAGAGGCCCCAGCCUUUCCGCCAGGCAUCAUUCUCCCGUGUUCUUUCCAUGGUUCUUUCCAUAGUCUUCAUCUGGGCCUUACCGAACCCAGUCAAGGAAACAAUACAAUAUGAGGGACGGAGGUGUAGAGGACAACUCUUUCCAGCUCCUCAUCUCUCAUGGUCACUGCUGGGCAUCAGUUGACAUUCCUAGAGGCUCUGAGACCUAGCAGAGUAGGAAAGGUGUGGGCAGAGCACUUCUGCAUGCCAGUGACUGGCACAGACAACCCAGCCCCAGGCAUGGAGGUUGGCGCAUUUCCCUGUGGAACAGUGCUUAGAACUCCUGUUAGAAGUGGCCAGUUGCACACUCUUGGAAUGCAUUGUAGUUCUACGGCGUCACAUGGGAUCCUGUCCUCAAGAUGACACCAAAGCGGGGCAAGGUCCUAAAGAGCCAGUGUUGGCUUUGCCCAAGCCCCUCACCCUCUCAGUAGCAAGCUUACACACACAUGUACACAGUCAUACUACCAAGUUCCCCAGCACCUCGGCCCGUUCUGUGUGUGCGAGAGGACAGCUCACCUUGGCUGUGAGGCAGCAUCCCUGGCAGUUAUGUUCCUAAAACGUCCCUGAGUUUUCCACCUUGGCCAGAAAUUGUUCUGCCAGAUCCAGCUGAGGAGACCAGACAUCACACAGGUCCUGCUGGUUGGGGCGGACAACUUCACGCUGCUUGGCAAGCCACUCCUCGGAAAGGAUCUUGUUAGAGUCGAAGCCACAGUCAUUGAAAAGACAGAAUCAUGGCCAAAAGUCAACAUGCAAUUUAAGAAGAGGAAAAACUACAAGAAGAAAAGAAUUAUCGUGAACCCCCAGACCAUCCUCCGGAUUAAC